rnacentral:rRNA from 1 species
AUUGAACGCUGGCGGCAUGCUUUACACAUGCAAGUCGAACGGCAGCGCGGGCUUCGGCCUGGCGGCGAGUGGCGAACGGGUGAGUAAUACAUCGGAACGUGCCCAGUAGUGGGGGAUAGCUCGUCUAAAGCCGGAUUAAUACCGCAUACGACCUGCUGGUGAAAGCGGGGGUUCUUCGGACCUCGCGCUAUUGUAGCGGCCGAUGGCCGAUUAGCUAGUUUGUUGGGUAAAGGCCUACCAAGGCGACGAUCUGUAGCUGGUCUGAGAGGACGACCAGCCACACUGGGACUGAGACACGGCCCAGACUCCUACGGGAGGCAGCAGUGGGGAAUUUUGGACAAUGGGCGAAAGCCUGAUCCAGCAAUGCCGCGUGUGUGAUGAAGGCCUUCGGGUUGUAAAGCACUUUUGGCGGGAAAGAAAAGGACUGUGCCAAUACCACGGUUCGAUGACGGUACCCGCAGAAUAAGCACCGGCUAACUACGUG